UCUUCUUCGGUAAAGGUUAUGGGCUCUUCAGUCUUUUGUCGCUUGGGGGAUACAGCCGGUAUGUUGGUCGUUUCUUGCUGGGAUCCUCCCGAGAUGGUAUUGGCGGAAUCCGUCGGAGGCCGAUCGUCCGGCCACUCCAUGCUGGCGACCAUAGCCGGAGAAUGCGGGGCCUGGGAAACCAAAGGCGAGACCGGGGUCCAGGAUAUGGCUGCGGAGGCCGUGGGUAGCUAUGCAGAUGCUUCGCGAGAGGGCAACAGGCGAGGAUCCCGUGGGGGAAAGAAGGAGUGGGUGCCGGAGGAGACGAUCGGAGGCGGCUCCGUUGAGCGCUCCUUUAAGAACAAGGGUACUGCGAAGACACACUCCUUCCUCUAGCGCCAAUCCUGUUGGUGCAAAAAUUCGCUUGCGCCGGAGAAGCUGG
rnacentral:lncRNA from 1 species